rnacentral:misc_RNA from 1 species
GAUGAAGAACGCAGCGAAAUGCGAUACGUAAUGUGAAUUGCAGAAUUCAGUGAAUCAUCGAAUCUUUGAACGCAUAUUGCGCUCUCUGGUAUUCCGGAGAGCAUGCUUGUUUGAGUAUCAGUAAACACCUCAACUCCCCUUUCUUUUUUUGAAAUGGGAGCUGGACUUGAGUGAUCCCAACGCUUUUCUCACCGAAAAGUGGCGGGUUACUUGAAAUGCAGGUGCAGCUGGACUUUUCUCUGAGCUAAAAGCAUAUCUAUUUAGUCUGCCUAAAAAACAGAUUAUUACCUUUGCUGCAGCUAACAUAAAGGAGAUUAGUUCUUGUGCUGACUGAUGCAGGAUUCACAGAGACAUCUUCGGCUGGCCUUUGUAAACUCGAUCUCAAAUCAAGUAAGACUACCCGCUGAACUUAAGCAUAUCAAUAAGCGGAGGA